CUUAAUCCUCGUGGCCCGAAUUAGGAUAGGAUAACAGCAGCCGCGGCAACAACCAAUCAGAAGGCGCGAUGCAGAUAGCGGUUCUCAAGCCGCCAAUGGGCGGGCGAGGCUCGGAGUUGGGAGCCUGUUUUUAAAACCCACUGUGCUGGGCAUGAUGCAGUCCGCAUGCUCACAGGCUCCGCCAGGGGUUCAUUUAGCUGUCUUCAGACCUCACUUUCAGAUGCAAGAGCACUGGGCUUCGUCUCUCUCCAUCUGUGUCCAGCGGUGUCCAGCUGGAUGCAGGCUGGCUUUGUGUGGGCAAGGACAAAGCUCUGCGUGGAGUCUGAUAUGAGCCUUCCCAUCCUCUGUGCACCAUGCAGGACAUCUUCACCACCGCUUUGGAGCAGCACCCGUACC
ensembl:lncRNA